UACGAAGGGGGCUAGCGUUGCUCGGAAUUACUGGCGUAAAGGGCGCGUAGGCGGAUAUCUAAGUUGGGGGUGAAAUCCCGGGGCUCAACCUCGGAAUUGCCUUCAAAACUGGGUAUCUUGAGUUCGGGAGAGGUGAGUGGAACUCCGAGUGUAGAGGUGAAAUUCGUAGAUAUUCGGAAGAACACCAGUGGCGAAGGCGGCUCACUGGCCCGGUACUGACGCUGAGGUGCGAAAGCGUGGGGAGCAAACA
rnacentral:rRNA from 1 species